AGCAGCUCAAAUAAAAAAUAACCAAGUGACUGAACAGACGGGAGUUAUUUCGUAUUUUGUAGCAAUAUAAAAACUUUUGUUUGCGGUAAUCUUCACCAAGUUUGUCGUUAGCUCAAGCGGUAAAGGCGCUGCGUACCGAAAGUGAAACGCAGUCGGGGUCGGGAUCGAUGCCGAACAUUUAUUAUCUGAUUUAGCUCUUUUUCUCAAUUUUUUGUAAUUUUUUUCUUCCUUCCUUUUUUAACUCUUAAAAGUUAGGCCGGUUAGUGUUUGGGAUCGGUAUAAAAUCUAAAGUGCUUUAAAAAAGUUUUAAUCUUUUUUUAUCUGGUUG